AACUAGGACAGAUUUUGAGGGGGAAAAUGCCAGAAUUUUUGAAACAAGAUGACUUUGCUUCUUUUUCUGUAAGCUGUACAUCUAUCACCAUCAGAAGCAAACACAUCUGGGCCAUUUCUGAAGAAUGAAUCAAGUCUUUUCAGACCAAAGAAAAGGUAAAGCAGAGACAUCAUUUCAUCCUUAUGCAGCAGACAACCUGGCAGUAAAACAUCAAAUUCAGUAGUUACAAUUGGAGACUCAAGGCUCAGCUCUUCUAAGAAGCCCAGAACAUAGCAC